GACGAACGCUAGCGGCGUGCUUAAUACAUGCAAGUCAACUUGACUUUAGAUAGCAAUAUCGAAAAGUAGGGUGGCGCACGGGUGCGUAACGCGUAGGUAAUCUGCCCUGAGGUCUGACAUAACCCGUCGAAAGGCGGCUAACAUCAGAUGAUAUAUAAUCACGACAUCGUGGAAAUAUCAAAUCUUCGGAGCCUUGGGUGAGCCUGCGUCUGAUUAGGUAGUUGGCGGAGUAAUAGCCCACCAAGCCUACGAUCAGUAGCUGGUCUGAGAGGAUGAUCAGCCACACUGGAACUGAGACACGGUCCAGACUCCUACGGGAGGCAGCAGUAAGGAAUAUUGCUCAAUGGGGGAAACCCGU
rnacentral:rRNA from 1 species